rnacentral:rRNA from 1 species
UAAAUAGAGAGGAGAGGCAGAGAGAGAGCAGGGGGAGAGGGUGGAUGGUUUGCAUAAUCCCAAAGAGGGUCCCAAAAAGGGGCGCGGCGGCGACGGCGGCGGUGGGGCGAGGAGGCCUAGCGGCGGUACCGUCGGCGUCGGCGGCGGCGGCUGGUCCGAUGGUUAAACGACGUCUUCGAUAGGGAACUACGGUUCUGACUUCGGUAGCUGCGCGGCCGCCGCUUCCUCUUCCGCAGGCCUCCCGACCCGCCGUUCGACUUACCACAACGCCGCUGAGCGUUGGGUGCCCGCCGGCUCGUCACCCGUUUAGGUGUCCUAAUGUCGCUACGCUCGUACAUAAUACCGCGGAUGGGACGACGAAUGAUAACGCGUCCGACCCCACUAAUAAGGUACAUGAACUUAGUCCUACCUCACCUUUGUGGACGGCGACCACGGAUACCACUGUACAUGACGAUAGGAGUUAUACCCGUACUACCAGUCUACAUACCCAGUGUCGUUAUAGUCAUGGGUAGUAGUAUGGUGGUCGGGGUCUUAUGACGGUCAUUCGGUGUUAUGUUCAGAUUUUGACUGUUCGAUCGGGGUAGUUUCCUAUAAAGGAGACGACAACGACUAGGCGACGGACGACAUCAGUCACGAGGGUUUCGGUGAAGUUUGUCGCAACUACUCCAUUUUCCAGACUUCUUCUGUAGGUGUGGUGACUUGGGCUCACCCUUGUUACCAUCAAUGGACUUGGUUUCAUCGUCUGGUCGAAUAGGUACCAUGCCACCGGUUUAGAUGGUCCCUUUUGUCGUCUUCGGAAGAUCACCGUUAGGAUGAAGUUGGCUAAGUUUAGGAUUUUCGUUCCAAGUCAGCUUCUUAGUCUUAUGGGUUGGAGAAGGAGGAGAUUACUCAAAUGGAUUGAGUGGCAACCGAAGUUACAUACGACGAUUACCUUACAUGUUGUCGUCACGGAUACCACCGAAAACCAUACCUAGGGUUAAAAUACCCGGUCCUUACAUACCACCCACCUUAUUAGACAGCCUACCUUUUAUGUUCGGGGCUCCCUCCUGUCGUAUACCUAGCAUACCUAAGGGGUUACUUUUGAACCUACCAAACUUACUCAACUUCUCUCCUGGUGCCUCACCUGAGAGAUUAUUGGUUGUACCGAAACAUGGACGACGACGCUGUCGACAGUUUCGUGUCCUACAAAGACGAUGACUACCGAGAUUACGUCAACACGUCCUAGUCAUGUUGCCCAGACUGAAUCGACUGUGAAUGCUUUUACGGUUCAAGAAAUAAUAAUUCAGUAUGUCGCUCCUACUACAAGUGUUCUCGUAGUUCAUGUUACAAACCCGGUCGUGUGGAUUACCUUUAUCUUUCGAACUGUCACGAAUAGAUCUUCGAUUUAGACCGUUAAGAGGACACAAGGAAGAGAAGAGACAAUUGUGGUCACCCGUCAAACAACCAGAGCGACUCUACCAACCGGUCCAACUAAAACUGUUCUGCCACCUUGUGACCGUCGUUCUGUUCACCUGACCAACAAAGGGACAGUUCACCGUGUAACAGUUCCUAUAAGGGUUGUUGAACAAUUUCGUAUAGUAAGAGCUCAUAUUACUUUUGUUUGGACACUGUUUGUCGUCUCUAUGUGUCCUCCAGUUCGAGCUCGUUCCGGAAGUCCACAACUUCUAAAAGUUCCUAGUACAGAGGUUUUGUAGGUAGGACCUACUGAAGUCGAAAAUACUAUUGGCACUCUUCUAUUACGUUCUCUCCUUUAGUGUCGCCGUCGUAGUUGACUUCUUCUAGUGCUCAGGCUUCGACGACGGAUGACAACUGUUGUGACUUUUACUAAGGCCGUUACGCGUCCUUAGCGUCUUCGGACUUCAAUGGCCUCUCUUGUUUAGACGCCGCCUUCUGUUACACCACCGCCGACGGCGCUCACCGCAACGGGGCCUUCUACGAUUGGGGUGUCGGCGUUCGAACCGACAGCGUUUACCGACGACUAAAAAAACAGACAGCUCAACACUCAUUCCACUGUACUGUCGAACCCUCAAAACCUCCUCCGACCGCGCCAAGUCGACAACCUCCGUUAGUCCCGAGACAACCCCAAGGCAUCCACAAAAACGUCUUUCAAACUCCGUAUACUAAUCCAAAGAGAACUCUAAAGGGGGGACAUAAUCAUAAAGAGAUAGAACCUCAACUCAAGCCGACCAUCCUCUAUCUCUAGUAGUAAACAACUAGACCCCACCACCACACAACAGAAAAAAAUAGAACAGCAGCCAUCUUUUACAUGGAUCCACACCACUAAACAUGACCAAAACGUUCUUCAUUGAACAGACAAAGUCACAAAUACAUGAUACACAGUCUACGCAGAGUACAAAAGAAGUUGUUAGAAGAG